UACGUAGGCAGCAAGCGUUGUUCGGAGUUACUGGGCGUAAAGGGUGUGUAGGCGGUUCUCUAAGUUUGGUGUGAAAUCUCCCGGCUCAACUGGGAGGGUGCGCCGAAAACUGGAGGGCUAGAGUACUGGAUGGGAGAGUGGGAAUUCCUGGUGUAGCGGUGAAAUGCGUAGAUAUCAGGAGGAACACCUGUGGUGUAGACGGCUCUCUGGACAGUAACUGACGCUGAGACACGAAAGCGUGGGUAGCAAACAGG
rnacentral:rRNA from 1 species